CUUGAACAGAGAAGCCAUUCCGUUUUGCUCCCAACUAUUUUCCCACUUUGGAUCUUUUGCGCCGCCUAAAAACUGCAAAAUUCUACUUUCGGUUAACAACCAGCAUUAUGAUUAGAUUGAUUCGAAGUUAAACAUUAGUUCAAAAAAAUAUUACCAAAUUAUAAAUGAAACUGGUAAUAAGAAUAUACAGUAAAACGAGAGCAAAUGAAAAAAUUACCCAAAUCAUAAAUUCAUAUUUCGCGAUAAAGAACCAUUGGUAAACCAAACAAAAAGCUAAGAUUUAUGCACUGCCCGUAAAAUCUUGAUAUUUUCAUUUUAUGAGAGGGGGAGGGGGGGAAGCGGAAAACUUACAAAUUG
rnacentral:lncRNA from 1 species